rnacentral:rRNA from 1 species
UGAUCCGGUUUCGGCCGGGGAUUAGUGGCGAACGGGUGAGUAACACGUGGGCAAUCUGCCCUGCACUCUGGGACAAGCCCUGGAAACGGGGUCUAAUACCGGAUACGACACACUCAGGCAUCUGGUGUGUGUGGAAAGCUCCGGCGGUGCAGGAUGAGCCCGCGGCCUAUCAGCUUGUUGGUGGGGUGAUGGCCUACCAAGGCGACGACGGGUAGCCGGCCUGAGAGGGCGACCGGCCACACUGGGACUGAGACACGGCCCAGACUCCUACGGGAGGCAGCAGUGGGGAAUAUUGCACAAUGGGCGCAAGCCUGAUGCAGCGACGCCGCGUGAGGGAUGACGGCCUUCGGGUUGUAAACCUCUUUCAGCAGGGAAGAAGCUUUCGGGUGACGGUACCUGCAGAAGAAGCACCGGCUAACUACGUGCCAGCAGCCGCGGUAAUACGUAGGGUGCGAGCGUUGUCCGGAAUUAUUGGGCGUAAAGAGCUCGUAGGCGGCGUGUCACGUCGGGAUGUGAAAGCCCGGGGCUUAACCCUGGGUCUGCAUUCGAUACGGGGCAGGCUAGAGUUCGGUAGGGGAGAUCGGAAUUCCUGGGUGUAGCGGUGAAAUGCGCAGAUAUCAGGAGGGAACACCGGUGGCGAAGGCGGAUCUCUGGGCCGAUACUGACGCUGAGGAGCGAAAGCGUGGGGGAGCGAACAGGAUUAGAUACCCUGGUAGUCCACGCCGUAAAACGUUGGGGAACUAGGUGUGGGUCACAUUCCACGUGGUCCGUGCCGCAGCUAACGCAUUAAGUUCCCCGCCUGGGGGAGUACGGG